AUGAGCAACCUGGGUGGCCAAGCAUUUGCACAUCCCCAAGGAAGAAUGCCCGCAGGAUCUGCUGUUCCAGAUGGCCCCCCUACACCAACUGUCAAGACUAAAUUGUGCAACAAGUAUAACACUGCGGAGGGAUGCAAAUGGGGCGACAAGUGCCACUUUGCGCAUGGUGAGAGGGAGCUCGGCAAACACACGUUCAUCAACAAUUCCAUGCCACCCCAUAUGGGACCAAGGCCCACCGGCCACUUUGGACCUCCGGCAAUGCCGAGCCCUGCCAUGACCACCCCAGCAGGCUUCGGGGCUUCUUCCACAGCCAAGGUCAGUGUCGAUGCGUCCCUCGUAGGUGGCAUCAUCGGGCGGGAUGGAGUCAACACAAAGCAGAUAUCCCGAGUCACCGGGGCCAAGCUGGCCAUCCGGGACCACGAUAUCACCGCGGCGGCGCCGGUGGGCAGGGAAGGAACUUCAAGACCAAGCUGUGCGACAACUUCACGAAAGGAUCGUGCACGUUUGGCGACAGAUGCCACUUUGCCCACGGCGAAAACGAACUGCGCAAGUCGGCUGCCGCGUGAGGUUGAUCUACCCACCCAUUAG
rnacentral:rRNA from 1 species